GAUGAACGCUGGCGGCGUGCCUAAUACAUGCAAGUCGAGCGAACAGACGAGGAGCUUGCUCCUCUGACGUUAGCGGCGGACGGGCGAGUAACACGUGGAUAACCUACCUAUAAGACUGGGAUAACUUCGGGAAACCGGAGCUAAUACCGGACAAUAUAUAUAACCUCAGGGUUCAAUAGUAAAAGACGAUUUUGCUGCCAUUAAUAGAUGGAUCCGCGCCGCUUUAGCUAGUGGCUAAGGUAACGGCUAACCAAGGCAACGAUGCGUAGGCGACCUGAGCGGAGGAUAGGCCCCCCCGCAACUGAGACGCGGUCCAGACCCCUACGGGAGGCAGCAGUAGGGAAUCUUCCGCAGUGGGCGAAAGCCUGACCGAGCAACGCCGCGUGAGGGGUGAAGGUCUUCGGAUCGUAAAACUCUGUUAUUAGGGAAGAACGAAUGUGUAAGUAACUAUGCACGUCUUGACGGUACCUAAUCAGAAAGCCCCGGCUAACUACGUG
rnacentral:rRNA from 1 species